rnacentral:rRNA from 1 species
CCCAGACUCCUACGGGAGGCAGCAGUGAGGAAUAUUGGUCAAUGGGCUUACGCCUGAACCAGCCAAGUCGCGUGAGGGAAGACUGCCCUAUGGGUUGUAAACCUCUUUUGUCAGGGAGCAAUUGGCGCUACGUGUAGCGUUAUCGAGAGUACCUGAAGAAAAAGCAUCGGCUAACUCCGUGCCAGCAGCCGCGGUAAUACGGAGGAUGCGAGCGUUAUCCGGAUUUAUUGGGUUUAAAGGGUGCGUAGGCGGGCAUUUAAGCCGGCGGUCAAAUGUCGGGGCUCAACCCCGGCCUGCCGUCGGAACUGGGUGCCUUGAGUGGGCGAGAAGUAUGCGGAAUGCGCAGUGUAGCGGUGAAGUGCUUAGAUAUUGCGCAGAACUCCGAUUGCGAAGGCAGCAUACCGGCGGCGAUCUGACGCUGAGGCACGAAAGCGUGGGUAUCGAACAGGAUUAGAUACCCGGGUAC